GGAGGCCUAGGAUGAUCUUAAAUUUGCCUACAUUGUCAGAGUGUUUAAAUCAUGACAGAUUAUUGAAUGAUUCUGAGGCCACU